ensembl:lncRNA PPP5D1P PPP5 tetratricopeptide repeat domain containing 1, pseudogene
GCGUGGGGCUUUGAGGAGUAACGAGGCGAAGGGGGAAACGGCGUCGCCGUUAGAGAAGCAAAUACGUCGUUUCUGUGGCCAGGAGGCCUCUAUGCUGCCAGAGCUGGGGAGAGAGAGAUGAGAAAAUCUCUCAGGCUGGGCGCGGUGGCUCACGCCUAUAAUCUCAGCACUUUGGGAGGCCGAGGCGGGCGGAUCACGAGAACCAGUCGUGUGGUCUCAUCUCACUGCAAGUGGAUGGAGAAAUAUAUUUUCUCAUGUGCCUUUGAAGAAGGAACUGGAAACAGAAUUUGGUGGGGAUUACAAUUUGAGAUGAGAUUUCGGUGGGAACACAGAGCCAAACCACAUCAACCAGUAAAUCUUGGGCUGAUUUGUUACACAGCGAUAGAUAACUUACUACGUCAGGAUCAUGGUAACAAGGAAGACUUUGGGACCCUGAGGAGUAUGGCUGCAGCAGUCUUAAGCUUUGGACAGGGGCUUAGAGUGGUGGCUCAUGCC